CAUCGCCUCUUGAAUAAAAUAAGAGGUCCAGCCUGCCCAGUGAAAUUAUUCAACGGCCGCGGUAUCCUAACCGUGCGAAGGUAGCGUAAUCACUUGUUCUUUAAAUGAGGACUAGUAUGAAUGGCACCACGAGGGUGCUACUGUCUCCUUUUUUAAAUCAGUGAAACUAAUCUUCCCGUGAAGAAGCGGGAAUUUUUUUAUAAGACGAGAAGACCCUAUGGAGCUUUAAACAAAUGACAUUUGCUUCAUCUAAUACUUUGUCUGCAAGAAGUAUAGCAUUAUGACCUUUAGUUUUCGAUUGGGGUGAUCACGGAGUAAAAUAUAACCUCCACGCCGAAAGGGUUUAUUCCCUAAGCAAAAAGCUACAGCUUUAGGCACUAAAAAAUUAACGUAAUUUGACCCAAUAUUUUGAUCAACGAACCAAGUU
rnacentral:rRNA from 1 species